rnacentral:rRNA from 1 species
UACAGAGGUCUCAAGCGUUGUUCGGAUUCAUUGGGCGUAAAGGGUGCGUAGGUGGCGCCGUAAGUCAGGUGUGAAAUCUCGGGGCUUAACUCCGAAACUGCAUUUGAUACUGCGGUGCUUGAGGACUGGAGAGGAGACUGGAAUUUACGGUGUAGCAGUGAAAUGCGUAGAGAUCGUAAGGAAGACCAGUGGCGAAGGCGGGUCUCUGGACAGUUCCUGACACUGAGGCAACGAAGGCCCAGGGGGAGCAAAACGGGG